rnacentral:lncRNA from 1 species
GGCCAGGAGGGAGGGACAGGGACAGAAGGCUCAGGGCUUGCCCCAGCCACCAGGCGGUGGCUUCGCUGCUUGGAGGAGGACGUGCCUGGCCUCUAAGAGAUACCCAGCAGCGCGGAGCAGGUGCCAGCCCUCAGACCCAGAACAGCUACGUGCCAGGCCGCGCACAAUCAGACCAGAGGUCCCACUCUCCCACCAGCCCCGAAGAACGCUCACGCCGGGCGGGGCGGGAAGGGAGGGCAGGGACCCAGCUUCGCCCUCCGCCAUUGCCGCGGGCGCUGGCCCCGCCUCCGGCGCGUGAGGGAUGGGGCCUGGGGCUCGCCUGCUGGAUCGAGCGCGCCUUGGGUGUGGAACCGGGGACGGGGCGUGGAGCUGUGGCGGGAAGGGCGAGGGGGGCGGGGCCUCGCGCGGGGGCGGGGCUCAGGCCCAGCGGGCCGCGGCCUCUGACCACAUGGAGCGCGGCGCUCUGGCCGGAUUGAGGCGGCGGCCUGUGGAGGAGGAGCGGGGUGGCCUCCGGGACACGAAACGGGCACGUAGGAGCAUCGAAGCUGGUCCUGGGGAGGACACUGACCGGGGGCAAAAUGAACUGCUCCAGGGGUGCUGGAUUACAGACUGGGGCUUGGAAUCCAAGGGCUUCAUUGCACAGGAGAGCCUGCCUGGAAAUAUCCAAGGCAGACAGAGCUCAGUGAUUUCUGCCAACAACGAAAGGCGUCCCACCCAGCCUUGCUCACGAUGCCUCGCCGGCGAGUCUGAAUGAGCAACGUAAAUAAAAGGAGGAAGAUUGAUGGAGCCGUUCUGGAG